rnacentral:rRNA from 1 species
AGUGAACGCUGGCGGUAGGCCUAACACAUGCAAGUCGAACGGCAGCACAGUAAGAGCUUGCUCUUACGGGUGGCGAGUGGCGGACGGGUGAGGAAUACAUCGGAAUCUACUUUUUCGUGGGGGAUAACGUAGGGAAACUUACGCUAAUACCGCAUACGACCUACGGGUUAAAGCAGGGGAUCUUCGGACCUUGCGCGAUUGAAUGAGCCGAUGUCGGAUUAGCUAGUUGGCGGGGUAAAGGCCCACCAAGGCGACGAUCCGUAGCUGGUCUGAGAGGAUGAUCAGCCACACUGGAACUGAGACACGGUCCAGACUCCUACGGGAGGCAGCAGUGGGGAAUAUUGGACAAUGGGCGCAAGCCUGAUCCAGCCAUACCGCGUGGGUGAAGAAGGCCUUCGGGUUGUAAAGCCCUUUUGUUGGGAAAGAAAAGCAGCAGGUUAAUACCCCGCUGUUCUGACGGUACCCAAAGAACAAGCACCGGCUAACUUCGUG